rnacentral:snRNA from 1 species
UCGCUUCAGCAGCACAUAUACUACAAUUGGAAUGAUACAGAGAAGAUUAGCAUGGCCCCUGAGCAAGGAUGACAUGCAAAUUCAAGAAGCAUUCCAUAUUUUU